rnacentral:tRNA from 1 species
GCAUUGGUGGUAUAGUGAUAGAAUUUUUGCCUUCCAUGCAGGAGACCCAGGUUUGAUUCCCAGCCAGUGCA